rnacentral:rRNA from 1 species
GUCUAUGGCAAUACCACCCUGAACAUGCCUGAUCUCGUCUGAUCUCAGAAGUGAAGCAGGGUAGGGCCUGGUUAGUACUUGGAUGGGAGACAUAUUUAUAAAGUCCUUGAAUAGUACACC